rnacentral:rRNA from 1 species
CUACGGAGGGUGCAAGCGUUACUCGGAAUCACUGGGCGUAAAGCGCGCGCAGGCGGUCUUUUAAGUUGGAUGUGAAAGCCUACGGCUCAACCGUAGAACUGCAUCCAAAACUAUUAGACUAGAGUGUGGGAGAGGAAGACGGAAUUAGUUGUGUAGGGGUAAAAUCCGUAGAGAUAACUAGGAAUACCAAAAGCGAAGGCAAUCUUCUGGAACACUACUGACGCUGAGGCGCGAAAGCGUGGGGAGCAAACAGGAUUAGAAACCCUUGUAGUCC